rnacentral:rRNA from 1 species
AUUGAACGCUGGCGGCAGGCUUAACACAUGCAAGUCGAGCGAGCGGCGGACGGGUGAGUAAUGUCUGGGAAACUGCCUGAUGGAGGGGGAUAACUACUGGAAACGGUAGCUAAUACCGCAUACCAUCAGAUGUGCCCAGAUGGGAUUAGCUAGUAGGUGGGGUAAUGGCUCACCUAGGCGACGAUCCCUAGCUGGUCUGAGAGGAUGACCAGCCACACUGGAACGGAGACACGGUCCAGAUGCCGAGGGGGGGAGGCAGUGGGGAAUAUUGCACAAUGGGCGAAAGCCGGAUGCAGCCAUGCCGCGUGUGUGAAGAGGGCCUUCGGGUUGUAAAGCACUUUCAUCGAGGAGGGGUUACUAGCAGAAGAAGCACCGGCUAACUCCGUGCAAGCAGCGCGGUAAUUC